CCGCACUACAUUCAUCCUUAAAUGUAAAGUCUCACUUCCUGUCUGCUGCUGAGAGGAGUAGGAAUCGGGGAACUCAAGAUGGCUGCCGUUACAGAGGCACUUUUAAAUGUAAGAAAUCAGUCUGCCCACCAGGGGGCAGGGCUAUGCGGAAAGUGGAGAUGGGAAUAUCAUACAGAGAACAACCCUGGACGAUAAUCCAGAAAACAACAGGCCCUUGGCUUCAUUCCUGUCCCCACCCCUGAAAUCAGCAGAACCUGAUUCAUUUGGAGUGUCUUCUGCUGAGUCCCCAGCAGAUGGAGUCAAUGGCAUAGAGGUGGCACUCCUCCUUCUCUGUCCUCAGGGUUGUUCUACCCAGCUUGAAUCUUCUCCAAGGCCCUAAGCAAUAGGGAUGACUUGGGCCAAAAAAAAAUUUUUUUUUCAAACCAAACAAGUGGUGUUCAAUUUCAUUCUAUCCCAUGACAUGCCCCAUCUGUUUUGAUAGCUUCUCAGCUUGGGUCUAGUCAAGUUAUUGUUUCAUUUCCAGUUCUGUAUUUGUAACCAAUGUAUUCAGAAAAAUAAAGUAUGUCUAAUUGAUAAACUAUUGGAAAAU
rnacentral:lncRNA from 1 species